rnacentral:lncRNA from 1 species
UCCAGCGACAAGAGAGAACCUCCUGAGAGGUUUGGUAGAAUCUCCUUGUCAGGGGAUUCGGGUUUCGGUCCCACCCCUGAGAGGGAGUCCUCCCACACUCAAGCCCUUCCUUUUCUUCCCUCUCCCCUGGUUCUCUCCUGAGCCCGCCCUUUGCCCUAGUUUCUCCUCUUAGGGGUGGGGGUUGGGGGGAAUGGAGCUGGGCUUGCCAGUAGGGUUGUCAUAUUUAGCAGUAAAAAUACAGGAUGCUAGUUCAAAUUUAAAUUUCACAUAAACAAUACAUAAUUCUUUAGUAUAAUAUGUGUCCGAUAUCAAAUAAAAUUAAAAUAUAAAAACAUCAUUUGUUAACUGUCUGAAAUUUAACUGGGCAUCCUGUUUUUUACCUGGCAAUCCUAGGCAAAAAUAGCAUUUAUGUACCUCCUAUUUACGGUAUCCUUUCAUAGCACUCCCAGUAUGGGGAGUGUUAUAAUCCAUGUUCUGAUGAACCCCAAAGGGUCUUGCUCAAGGUUAUGCAACUAGUAAGUAACCAGGCUGGGAUACCUUAAAAGCCCAUUUCAAUUCUGCUAUCUCUCGUCAGGUGUGCAAUUCAAGGAAAGACUCCUGGAGAGCUCGUCCAAUUGUUAGAAUGAAUCUCCUUAAUAAAAGCCAAUUUAUCUUUCAGAGGGGCUAUAGAGUUGUUUUAUAUUCAGGUUCUCUGCUGUGGCAUUUACCUUAUAUUUGGGGGAAGAAACUGUAUUAAACUGUCAAGGAAUAUUGAUUUACUAUAUGAUGAUGAAAGUAUAUUUUAUAUUAUUAAAUCACAAUAGCAUAUCAUUUGACUUUGACAUCAGUGAACAAGGUUAUGUUCAUACAGUAGACCCAUACAUCUCUGUAAGCAUAGUGAUUAAGGCAGUAUAGGGUAUUCUGAAAUGAGACAUACCUCGGUUCAAAGCCUAGCUUCACGAACACUUUGAUGCAGUAGGUAAGUUACAGAAUCUCUCUGGGCCUCUGUUUGCUCUUUUUAAAAAAGAAAUAGUAAUUAUAACCACUUCGUAGGGUUGUUGUACUAAAUUCUUAUCAAGUGCCUGGAACAUUUAAAUUAAUUAAUUUUAGCUAUGAUUUGCCAUUAUACUUUGAGUAUAAUGUGGAUUUUGGCAUAAAUCAUUAGAUAAUUAAAUGUUUUAAUUUUAGUUUUAAGUUGAAAAAAGCCAGUAAUUAAGAAUAUUAUGAAUAUUGUGAAUUUCAGUGAAAUGUACUAUUCAAUAAUAAAAGAGAUAUUUUAGAUAAUAUACCAGUUUCACUAAAUCAACUAUCUGUAAGCCAAGUUAAUAGAAUAAAAUAUUUGUAUAUCAGUCUCAGUAAUUGCUCCUCAUGUAUAAUUUUAUAUGAUUUUCAUUUUCAUUGUGUUAUAAACAGGAAGAAAACUUACCAAGCACCAACGGAGAGAAAAUAACUACAGGGUGAGGGGUAAAGCCAGAAAAUAGGUCUAUGAUCAGUGGCUGUUUAUGGUGAGGUAGACUUAGUAUGUUUUAAAAACCAAAUGUCAAGCUUUGUAGGGAUUUUAUAUUUCUUUGUAUAUUGUCUUAUUUCCUUAGUGUUUACAGUGUUAACUUAGUUCACUUACAAACUAUUCUCUAAAAUUCCUCUUGGGAACUUUUUUCAGUUUUUCUCUAAAAAACUACAAAAGCUUUCUACUACCUUGAAGGGAAUGUGGAAUUGUGAAAAUUGAAAUUAACAACUAUGGACUAUUAUCCAAAUAAUUGUAAACAAGUCACUGAACACAUCUGAGCCUUGCUUUAUCUCUAAAAUCAAAACAAAUGAAAACCUACCCCACCAUCCCCAAGGUUUAUAAAUGCUACCGAUUACUGUAACUCUUAUCCACCCGAAAAAAUUCCUCCAUGGAUGAAUCCAACUAUUUGGAUUUUUUGUUCCUGCUGCAGGCUUCCCAGAAGAGCUGGAGAAACUUUCACACUGGAAAGACUUGGUACUAAAAUAAAUUCAUGGUAGUCACCUUCACCUGGACUUUCACACCGCACAGCAGGCCCACUGUGUUUCUCUAACCACUCAUUCUUCCUUUUUAUGCAAUUGCGGUUUCAAAUCCUCUUCACUUCUUUCAAGCUUCUGACAUCCUUUGAAAGCCAUUCUCACUAAGUGACCUCUGUGUUAUUGAGAAAAUUGAGUACCUGAGCUUCUGAAUUUCCUGCUGGAAAAUCUGCCCACUGACCUUCAUCUGCAUCCAUCCAGCUUUCACUGAAUCCUAGUACCUUUGCCUGUGUUCUGAAUUCUUCCUUACUAUCUCAGGGACCUUUAUCAUCAGUUAUCCCUUAUGUCACCUGGAUGGUCAGCCACUGCCUCUAAAUCCUUCCCAUCCGCAUGUAAAUAUUCAUUCCUGCAGUCCCUUCUUCAGGGAACAGUUGUCAGUUACCAUUCUUCCACCCAUCUAAUACUCGAUUUCUUCUCCCAUUUGUAAUCAGUUUUAAAGAACCGUCUGCCCUGAUGUUUCUAUUUCUUUACUUCCCAUUCUCUUGGCAACCUGUUCCCGUUGUUCUUCCAUCCUCACCCCUCUGCUGAAACUAUUCCUGCUAAGGUCCCAAUAGUUUCCUUGUCCCUCAAUCCCAUGGACUUCUGACCUGUUAGGCAACAUUUCAUACCCUAAACCAGUGUUCGGGCAAACUGUAGCAUGUGGACCAAAUAUAGCUUCAGCAUGUUCUUAUAUGGCCUUUGAACUAAAAUAUUUUCAUCUAUCUGGCUCUUUACAGAAAAAGAUUGCCAACCCCUUCUAUAGUUCACUCCCUCCUUUUAAGAAUAAAUUCUUUUGGCUCUUCCCUUAUAAGUAAGUUUUGUUUUCUUUGUACUCUUCUCUCCUUUCUUUCUCAGUCUCUCUGUGGUUACCAGACCCUUAGAUGUUGGAAUUCCUCAACACUUUAUGUUGGAAGUGGGAUCUUCUGGAUCUCAUCUACUCCCAAACUUCUACCUCACAUUUUCUUCUGAACAUCAUACAUGUGUAUUCAACUGCCUACUCAACCUCUCCACUUAAUGUGCUACAGAUAGCCCAAACUCAAUAUAUUUGAAACUGAACUCACAAUCCUGUGCUAACCCUGCCUUUCCUACAGACUGUCAUAACCCAAUAGAGUAUAAAGCUGUUGCUUAUAAAGUUAAUGUCAGAAAUCUGGGAGUCUUUGAACAUCUCUUCCUCUCCUCAUCUUGUUCCACUCACAUCUAAGUAAUCACCAAAUGCUAUUAAUUGUAUUACCUGCUUGGUUUUUAAUCUACUUCAUUCAUUCUGCCCAAUACCACCCUAAAGUCAAAAACACCAUCAUCUGGUCAAAUGCUUUAACCUAAGUAGCCUUCCUCUUUUUCUUUAAAAAAAAUUUUUUUGUAAUUGAAUAAUUCUCAUACCAUAUGGGUUACCCUAAAAUUUACAAUUUAGUAGUUCUUAGCUUAUUCAAGAUUCAAACAUUAGUGGUACAUAUCUGGUAUUUUUGCCAUAAGCAUCUUUGCUGUAGACAUUUUUGCUGCAUAGCUAAGUGGCUUUAGAGCAAUUUUGCCUUAAAACAUAAGAUAACUGGUUGACAGUUUGGUUUCAAAUGAUUGACACUUAGUUUCAUUUCUCCAUUGACACAGUUCUCCCAUUUUUAUAUUCCAUAAAUCCUAGCCCUCAUAAGGAUCGACACAAUGACAAGUAGAUAUGGUAGUAUUAAAAUAGUGGAUGAAAACUGUAUAUCAACUUGAUGAGAAAUAUGGUGAUAAAACUUACCGGAACUGUUAAAUAAGAAUGUAAAGACAGAUUGCAUACUAUACCAGAAAAUGAUAACUCACAAAGCUCAGUUAUAAUUGAGUAUUUGGAAACUGAUACCUCUUUUUUUUCCUUUUUUUGUGCUUUUCAGGGCUGCACCCACGGCGUAUGGAGGUUCCCAGGCUAGGGGUCUAAUCAGAGCUAUAGCUGCCGGCCUACACCAUAGCCACAGCAACACCAGAUACGAGCCUCGUCUGCAACCUACAUCACAGUUCAUGGCAGCGCCGGAUCCUUAACCCAAUGAGCAAGGCCAGGGAUCGAACCCGCAAUCUCAUGGUUCCUAGUCGGAUUUGUUUCUGCUGUGCCACAGUGGGUACUCCUGAUACCUCUCUUAAUGAAAGAAGAAAGUUUAGUGAAAAAGAAAAGGUGCUAUGCCGAAUGAGGAGAGACAUCAACUGCAAAAUAACAAAGUAAAAUGUAUGUGUAAAAUACAUUCUCUUACAUCAUAGUACAAUUAUCAAAAUCAAGAAAUUAAUUUUGAUGUAAUAUUAUCUAAUCUGCUGACCUUAUUAAGAUUUAGCCAGUUGUCAAACUAACGUGUAUGUGUAUUUUACAAAAAAUAAAAAUAAAAGAACAGGGAGUUCCCGUCGUGGCGCAAUGGUUAACAAAUCCGACUAGGAACCAUGAGGUUGCGGGUUCGAUCCCUGCCCUUGCUCAGUGGGUUAACGAUCCGGCGUUGCCGUGAGCUGUGGUGUAGGUUGCAGACGCGGCUCGGAUCCCGCGUUGCUGUGGCUCUGGCGUAGGCCGGCGGCUACAGCUCCGAUUCAACCCCUAGCCUGGGAACCUCCAUAUGCCGCGGGAGCGGCCCAAGAAAUACCAACAACAACAACAACAAAAAGACAAAAAUAAAUAAAUAAAUAAAUAAAAGAACAGAACAGAAAAAAUGGGGUUUUAGUGGUCUAGAAUCUAAUUCAGUUUCACACAUUGGAUUUAGUCACCAUGUCUCUUUGGUCUGCCUCAUUCUGGAACACUUCCUCACUCUUUGUCUUUAAUAAGACUAGAUGAUGACGGGAGUUUUGGUAUUCAUGAUGCAUCAGCAAUGGAGAGCUCUACUUGAUACUCAAAACAAGAGGAGAGGAUGGUGUCACUCACUGAGCAUGCAGUUUUGGCAUUUGGAGACUAUAUGGGAGCAACUUGUCUGUGCCUGCCUUGUGUGGAAUCAGUGCUCCCAAUGAAAUGCAAAACCUGCAGGCUGAUAGAGGAGGCAGCACACAACGUCCAGGGAGAGCAUUGAUAUGUUAAAUAGAAGAUAUCUUUUCUCUAGAAGAAAGUCUCGGCAACCCACUGUUAAGUAAGACUUUUUUUCGUUUUACAAAAUGGAUCAAGAUGCUUGUUUUGGAUGAAUUCAGUAAAAAUGUUGAGCCAAAGGAUUAAAGGUCAAAUCCAUGAGAUUUACCGGAAAUCAAAUCUGGAUUCAGGCUGUAUUGUUUUCUGCCUUAAUGCUAAUCGAUAUAUUGAAAAUCAUCAAAAAGUUCCCAAGAGAUCCAUUUCAAAUUCCGGUGAAGAAGGAAGAACUGAACUUUGAAAAGGCCAAAAUGUUACAAUAAUUUUGAAAGAGGAAUUGUUCAGAGUUGAUUUGGGAGGAAAGCAAUGGCCGUAAGUGUUGAAGAAGACAAGGAGGUUCUUUGUGAUACUGAUACUUUCUACAGUACUGCAGUGGAGGAAACGCCAGUGGGUAUGACGGACCUUAUUAAAUCCUGGGAUGAAAUGGUUUUGAAUGUGAUGCUUGCUGUUGCAGUGCAGGUGAUCAUGAUGUGCACUGUGCUUCUUUUGCAGGGGGUGGGGGGGUUGCGGGAGGAAUAUUUGAAGCUUGUUUCAAUGCUCAUAACGGAUCAAAAAUAUAGAUUUUGCUGCAAAGCAACUUUAGUCAUGAGCUCUUUUGAGGAAAGUCAUUGCCUUUAUCCUCUUUAGAGUUAGAUUGUUGGUUGGGUCUAAGGGAUUGUGAACAUCUUCCUUAGCAAUUUAUUUCCUAGUUAUCUAAAUAAUAAUUAUAUUGAGUAUUUGUUAUCAUCUAAUAAUAUACUUACAGACUGAAAGAUAUGUGCCUUCAGUGUUUAAACUAGUGUAUCUGCCAUUAUUGUGUUAGUCAUCAGGCUGAGUAGAAUGAACUUUAAAAUUAUUUUUUAAGAAAAUAUUUGAAUUCAUUUUGUUUGGUAUCAUUUUUAUUCAGUAAGGCAUUUAUUUUGUUAGUGGUAAGUGUAAACUAGAGUCUUUUGCUAAGCACCAGCAACAAUCAUAUCCUAUGGUUAAAUCUCAGAAAAAUCGCUAUAUUGCAUAUUGAAUGUUCAGCAAAUUACAAUGAAGUAUAUUUUUCU